AGUCGAACGGCAGCGCUGGAGCAAUCCUGGCGGCGAGUGGCGAACGGGUGAGUAAUACAUCGGAACAUGUCCAGUAGUGGGGGAUAGCCCGGCGAAAGCCGGAUUAAUACCGCAUACGAUCUACGGAUGAAAGCGGGGGAUCGCAAGACCUCGCGCUAUUGGGGUGGCCGAUGGCGGAUUAGCUAGUUGGUGGGGUAAAGGCCUACCAAGGCGACGAUCCGUAGCUGGUCUGAGAGGACGACCAGCCACACUGGGACUGAGACACGGCCCAGACUCCUACGGGAGGCAGCAGUGGGGAAUUUUGGACAAUGGGCGCAAGCCUGAUCCAGCAAUGCCGCGUGUGUGAAGAAGGCCUUCGGGUUGUAAAGCACUUUUGUCCGGAAAGAAAUCCUCUGGGUUAAUACCCCGGGGGGAUGACGGUACCGGAAGAAUAAGCACCGGCUAACUACGUGCCAGCAGCCGCGGUAAUACGUAGGGUGCGAGCGUUAAUCGGAAUUACUGGGCGUAAAGCGUGCGCAGGCGGUGAUGUAAGACCGAUGUGAAAUCCCCGGGCUUAACCUGGGAACUGCAUUGGUGACUGCAUCGCUGGAGUAUGGCAGAGGGGGGUAGAAUUCACGUGUAGCAGUGAAAUGCGUAGAGAUG
rnacentral:rRNA from 1 species